rnacentral:rRNA from 1 species
GACGAACGCUGGCGGCGUGCCUAAUACAUGCAAGUAGAACGCUGAAGGCGGAGCUUGCUUCUCUGGAUGAGUUGCGAACGGGUGAGUAACGCGUAGGUAACCUGCCUCGGAGCGGGGGAUAACUAUUGGAAACGAUAGCUAAUACCGCAUAAUAGUAGAUGUUGCAUGUCAUUUGCUUAAAAGGUACAAUUGCAUCACUACCAGAUGCACCUGCGUUGCAUUAGCUAGUGGGUGCGGUACCGGCGCACCAAGGCGACGAUACAUCGCCGACCGGAGAGGGGGAGCGGCCACACUGGGACGGAGACACGGCACAGAGGGCUACGGGAGGCAGCAGUAGGGAAUCGGCGGCAAGGGACGGAAGUCUGAGCGAGCAACGCCGCGGGAGGGAAGAAGGAUGUCGGGUCGGAAAGCUCUGUUGUAAGGGAAGAACGAGUGUGAGGGUGGAAAGUUCACACUGUGACGGUAUCUGACCAGAAAGGGACGGCUAACUACGUG